AUUCCGGUUGAUCCUGCCGGAGGCCAUUGCUAUCGGAGUCCGAUUUAGCCAUGCUAGUCGUGCGAGUUCAGACUCGCGGCACCGAGCUCAGUAACACGUGGCCAAACUACCCUACAGAGACGGAUACCCUCGGGAAACUGAGGUUAACCCGUCAUACCGAUCUCAGGCUUGAAUCGCAGAGAUCACAAAACGCCCCGGCGCUGUAGGAUGUGGCUGCGGUUGAUUAGGUAGACGGUGGGGUAACGGCCCACCGUGCCCAUAAUCAGUACAGGUUGUGAGAGCAAGAACCUGGAGACGGAAUCUGAGACAAGAUUCCGGGCCCUACGGGGCGCAGCAGGCGCGAAACCUUUACACUGCACGCACGUGCGAUAAGGGGACUCCGAGUGCGAGGGCAUAUCGUCCUCGCUUUCGUGUACCGUAGGGUGGUACACCAACAAGGGCUGGGCAAGACCGGUGCCAGCCGCCGCGGUAAUACCGGCAGCCCGAGUGAUGGCCGAUCUUAUUGGGCCU
rnacentral:rRNA from 2 species